CGGUGCGAAAUCUNGUNANNCUUUANGANAGUUUUUUUUNCUGCUCAGGACGAACGCUGGCGGCGUGCCUAAUACAUGCAAGUCGAGCGGACAGAAGGGAGCUUGCUCCCGGAUGUUAGCGGCGGACGGGUGAGUAACACGUGGGUAACCUGCCUGUAAGACUGGGAUAACUCCGGGAAACCGGAGCUAAUACCGGAUAGUUCCUUGAACCGCAUGGUUCAAGGAUGAAAGACGGUUUCGGCUGUCACUUACAGAUGGACCCGCGGCGCAUUAGCUAGUUGGUGAGGUAACGGCUCACCAAGGCGACGAUGCGUAGCCGACCUGAGAGGGUGAUCGGCCACACUGGGACUGAGACACGGCCCAGACUCCUACGGGAGGCAGCAGUAGGGAAUCUUCCGCAAUGGACGAAAGUCUGACGGAGCAACGCCGCGUGAGUGAUGAAGGUUUUCGGAUCGUAAAGCUCUGUUGUUAGGGAAGAACAAGUGCAAGAGUAACUGCUUGCACCUUGACGGUACCUAACCAGAAAGCCACGGCUAACUACGUGCCAGCAGCCGCGGUAAUACGUAGGUGGCAAGCGUUGUCCGGAAUUAUUGGGCGUAAAGGGCUCGCAGGCGGUUUCUUAAGUCUGAUGUGAAAGCCCCCGGCUCAACCGGGGAGGGUCAUUGGAAACUGGGAAACUUGAGUGCAGAAGAGGAGAGUGGAAUUCCACGUGUAGCGGUGAAAUGCGUAGAGAUGUGGAGGAACACCAGUGGCGAAGGCGACUCUCUGGUCUGUAACUGACGCUGAGGAGCGAAAGCGUGGGGAGCGAACAGGAUUAGAUACCCUGGUAGUCCACGCCGUAAACGAUGAGUGCUAAGUGUUAGGGGGUUUCCGCCCCUUAGUGCUGCAGCUAACGCAUUAAGCACUCCGCCUGGGGAGUACGGUCGCAAGACUGAAACUCAAAGGAAUUGACGGGGGCCCGCACAAGCGGUGGAGCAUGUGGUUUAAUUCGAAGCAACGCGAAGAACCUUACCAGGUCUUGACAUCCUCUGACAACCCUAGAGAUAGGGCUUUCCCUUCGGGGACAGAGUGACAGGUGGUGCAUGGUUGUCGUCAGCUCGUGUCGUGAGAUGUUGGGUUAAGUCCCGCAACGAGCGCAACCCUUGAUCUUAGUUGCCAGCAUUCAGUUGGGCACUCUAAGGUGACUGCCGGUGACAAACCGGAGGAAGGUGGGGAUGACGUCAAAUCAUCAUGCCCCUUAUGACCUGGGCUACACACGUGCUACAAUGGACAGAACAAAGGGCUGCGAGACCGCAAGGUUUAGCCAAUCCCACAAAUCUGUUCUCAGUUCGGAUCGCAGUCUGCAACUCGACUGCGUGAAGCUGGAAUCGCUAGU
rnacentral:rRNA from 1 species